rnacentral:rRNA from 1 species
GAUGAACGCUAGCGGCAGGCUUAACACAUGCAAGUCGAGGGGUAGAGGAAGCUUGCUUCCUUGAGACCGGCGCACGGGUGCGUAACGCGUAUACAAUCUACCUUUUACAGAGGGAUAGCCCCAGAGAAAUUUGGAUUAAUACCUCAUAGUAUUUUCGGAUCGCAUGAUUUGAUUAUUAAAGUUCCAACGGUAAAGAUGAGUAUGCGUCCCAUUAGCUAGAUGGUAAGGUAACGGCUUACCAUGGCAAUGAUGGGUAGGGGUCCUGAGAGGGAGAUCCCCCACACUGGUACUGAGACACGGACCAGACUCCUACGGGAGGCAGCAGUGGGGAAUUUUGGACAAUGGGCGCAAGCCUGAUCCAGCAAUGCCGCGUGCAGGAUGAAGGCCUUCGGUGUAAACGUAGCUUUUGUACGGACGAAACGGUGAGCU